UGGGGAAUAUUGCGCAAUGGGCGGAAGCCUGACGCAGCGACGCCGCGUGGGGGAUGACGGCCUUCGGGUUGUAAACCUCUUUCAGCAGGGACGAAGCGCAAGUGACGGUACCUGCAGAAGAAGCUCCGGCUAACUACGUGCCAGCAGCCGCGGUAAGACGUAGGGAGCGAGCGUUAUCCGGAUUUAUUGGGCGUAAAGAGCUCGUAGGUGGCUUGUCACGUCGGUUGUGAAAACCUGCAGCUUAACUGUGGGCUUGCAGCCGAUACGGGCGAGCUAGAGGCAGGUAGGGGAGAGUGGAAUUCCUGGUGUAGCGGUGAAAUGCGCAGAUAUCAGGAGGAACACCGGUGGCGAAGGCGGCUCUCUGGACCUGUUCUGACGCUGAGGAGCGAAAGCGUGGGGAGCGAACAG
rnacentral:rRNA from 1 species